AACAAACACAAAAUAUAAACUAAUCAUUUUCAAAAAUGUCAGUAUGACAUUUUCUGAGUUAGAUACAUGAUUGAUCGAUAUAAUUAUACAAUGAAUCGUUAUUAACGCCUUUUACUUUCUGGUAUUUUCUGAUCAGACGUAUCGUGUCUAGAUAUAUGUAAUCGCAGAGUUUGCGUUCCUUCAAUUACUGGUGAAUGUGAAACUUGCACUCUUCUGGGUAUCCAGGUUCCAGGAUGAUUAUACGGGACAGUCACCCUCUUAUCAUUCAAAAAGCAAUAAUUCAGUUUUUCCAUAAUUCGUUCGAUAAGCGUUGGUAUUCUAUCAGGACAUCGAUUUCUUCUUAUUGUUAGGGAACGUGAAAAGGGACGGGAAACGGAUCGACGUAGACGAAUCGCGGGAUAGAUCCUGGUGCCUGGCUUGUCUGGAUGAAUUACUC